rnacentral:rRNA from 1 species
AUUGAACGCUGGCGGCAUGCCUUACACAUGCAAGUCGAACGGCAGCACGGGAGCAAUCCUGGUGGCGAGUGGCGAACGGGUGAGUAAUAUAUCGGAACGUGCCCAGUCGUGGGGGAUAACGUAGCGAAAGCUACGCUAAUACCGCAUACGAUCUAUGGAUGAAANCGGGGGAUCGCAAGACCUCGCGCGAUUGGAGCGGCCGAUAUCAGAUUAGGUAGUUGGUGAGGUAAAGGCUCACCAAGCCGACGAUCUGUAGCUGGUCUGAGAGGACGACCAGCCACACUGGGACUGAGACACGGCCCAGACUCCUACGGAGGCAGCAGUGGGGAAUUUUGGGACAAUGGGCGCAAGCCUGAUCCAGCAAUGCCGCGUGCAGGA